rnacentral:rRNA from 1 species
ACGUAGCGGUGUGGAUUAGGCAUGCAAGUCGCGCGCGAAAGUCCGCAAGGACGAGUAAAGCGGCGAAAGGGUGAGUAACACAUAAUCAACCUACCCCUCAGAUCGGAAUAACCACUGGAAACGGUGGCUAAUGCUGGAUGACCCUGCGAUGAGGCAUCUCAAUGCAGGUAAACGGUGGCGCAAGCUGCUGCUGAGGGACGGGAUUGCGGGCUAUCAGCUAGUUGGUGAGGUAAUGGCUCACCAAGGCUAUGACGGCUAGCCGAUCUGAGAGGACGACCGGCCACACUGGGACUGAGACACUGCCCAGACUCCUACGGGAGGCUGCAGUCGAGAAUCUUCCGCAAUGGGCGAAAGCCUGACGGAGCGACACCGCGUACAGGAUGAAGGCCUUCGGGUUGUAAACUGUUGUCACGCUAUAGGAACCAUUCGUAGUUAAUAGCUGCGAGUCUGACUAAAGCGAGAGGAAGCACCGGCUAACUCUGUGCCAGCAGCCGCGGUAAGACAGAGGGUGCAAACGUUGUUCGGAAUCACUGGGCAUAAAGCGCACGUAGGCGGCCCACUAAGUCAGUUGUGAAAGCCCCCGGUCAACCGGGGAAUGGCAUCUGAUACUGGUGGGCUCGAGGAAGGGUAGGGGGUGGGCGGAACUCCAGGUGGAGGCGGUGAAAUGCGUAGAUUCUGGAGGAACACCGGGUGGCGAAAGCGGCCCACUGGACCUUUCUCUGACGCUGGAGGUGCGAAACCUAGGGUAGGCAAACGGGAUUUAGAUUACCCGGGUAGUCCCUAGCCGUAAACGAUGGGCCCUGGGUUGGG